CUACGGGGGGCUGCAGUGGGGAAUAUUGCACAAUGGAGGAAACUCUGAUGCAGCAACGCCGCGUGGAGGAUGACACUUUUCGGAGCGUAAACUCCUUUUAUAUAGGAAGAAGAUGACGGUACUAUAUGGAUAAGCGCCGGCUAACUCCGUGCCAGCAGCCGCGGUAAUACGGAGGGCGCAAAGCGUUACUCGGAAUCACUGGGCGUAAAGAGCGUGUAGGCGGAUUAAAAAGUCAGAAGUGAAAUCCUAUAGCUUAACUAUAGAACUGCUUCCGAAACUCUUAAUCUAGAAUAUGGGAGAGGUAGAUGGAAUUUCUGGUGUAGGGGUAAAAUCCGUAGAGAUCAGAAGGAAUACCGAUUGCGAAGGCGAUCUACUAGAACAUUAUUGACGCUGAGACGCGAAAGCGUGGGGAGCAAACAGGAUUAGAUACCCGAGAGUC
rnacentral:rRNA from 1 species